AUGACAAAACUUAUGGUGAAUUCAUCGGUUCCUUUAUAUUGUGAAAGGGUUGGCCUUGGUGUUUCUAAACCUUUGGUUAAUGUAAGUCCUAAUAAUUGGCCUCCUAAUGUCCAUUCUGCUCUGGUUGAGAAUCACCCUCUUCUGUGCAUGCCUGGGCACCAGGAAUGUUUGAUUGCGAUGGAUUUUAUGGAAAUAAUACCUAUUUUCAUAUUGAUGACUUGGAUAGCACCGUUGUCCUUUGCAGCUACUGGAGAGGUGGCCAGUCAGACCACGUUCAGUCAGACGACAGAAACUGUAUUCAUUAUGUAAGAAGAAAAUUUAAUAUUAAGAAUAAUGAACUUGGCGUAAAACUAAAUGGAAAACUGUAAGGGAAAAAAAGAACACUAAGACACCACGGCUACCAGGAGGAUAAGAUAAGGAUGGGUUUAGCAGGUGUGGCAGAAACCGCAAACUAGAUUCACAUGUUGCUAUGAAAGGGUGUUGCUGCCGGACUGAGGUAUUGGGACAAUGCCAACAAGAAUGAUGUACCUAAAAAGCCUGAAGGAAGCAAAUGAGAUGCACAAAGUUGAUUUUUUAUCCUUCUAGGAUUGCUUUUCAGCAGAAUCCAACGUGGAGACAGCUGGAAAAACAGAAAUGUGGUUUACAGGAUCUCAGCUCUACCAUCAGAAAGUGUAAUGUAGAAGUCUGGGUUUGGAGCUAAAAGACAAUAGGUUAAUAACUGACACAAUCUCUGAGAUGUUUUUGAGAUUUAAUAUGCCAUUUAUCUGUCUCUUAGACCUGCACAGGGUAAUACCUGAGUAGGAAUCUUAUGGUUUGCUUUUGUUUUUUAAUGUACUUUGAUUCAGAGAGUAAAUAACUUGUUUCAUAUUCUUGAUCUACUUCAUUGCCUUAUUUGACUUAAUGAGUGUCCUUGCUUUGUUCCUGUUCUUUUGUUCUUGUUGUGUUUUUUUUGUCUAUAAGAGUUAAAGAUAAUCCCAUUAUUCUAAUAGAGAUUUUUAUUAAGUAAGGGCUUUUGGUUUACCUAAAAUAGUGUAAUUAUCUUGAUUCCAAAUUAGAACACUUAAUGUAUUAUUCCAAGUUACUCUUUCAAAUGGUGGAAUUUUAAAUGUUUCCACACGUUAAAUUUUACAUAGUUUUAUUACUUUUUCUUUGAAUAAUGAAUCUUAGUUUUAAAAAUAUUCUUCAGACUAUGGGGUAUUUAAUUGGCCCUCUGUUAGAACAGCUUUAUUUUUAGUCUAAGCUACUGCCGAACUUCCAAACUUGGUUAAACAUUCUUAUCAUUCCUUUUUUAAUAUGGCUUAAUAUGCUA
rnacentral:lncRNA from 1 species